rnacentral:lncRNA from 1 species
GUCGCUGACAGGAAUGUUGAUGAACGCCUAACAGCUGGAGAAGAGCCAGCUCCGUCAGCCCCUAGGAAGAUCACAUGUCAGGAAGAGCCCAUUGUCUGACAGUCAAUGAAAUUUCUAUAAGGGACGUUUGUGGAUGUUUCCCUUACCGGAAGGGAUAAAAAUAUACCGGACGGAGACAAGAAUUGAGGACUCGCAGGAUAUUUUAUUGAGACAAGGACUGUUCCUUGCACACUUACGAUGUACCAAGUGCCAUUCCAUGCAAUUACCAUGAACCAACUCCUUUAAACCUGACUACCUGGAAGCAGGCACCACCACCAUCCCUGCUCUGUAAAUGGGGAAACUGAGGCAAAGACAGGUAUAGCUGUGUGCAUGAA